rnacentral:rRNA from 1 species
ACGAACCGUGCGAACGUUGUUCGGAUUCAUUGGGCUUAAAGGGCGCGUAGGCGGGUCGCCGAGUCCGUGGUGAAAUCCUCCAGCUUAACUGGAGAACUGCCCCGGAUACUGGAGGUCUCGAGGGGGGUAGGGGCAUGCGGAACUGUGGGUGGAGCGGUGAAAUGCGUUGAUAUCCUCAGGAACUCCGGUGGCGAAGGCGGCGUGCUGGACCCUAUCUGACGCUGAGGCGCGAAAGCGAGGGGAGCAAACGGG